GUGGGGAAUAUUGGACAAUGGGCGAAAGCCUGAUCCAGCCAUGCCGCGUGUGUGAAGAAGGUCUUCGGAUUGUAAAGCACUUUAAGUUGGGAGGAAGGGCAGUAAGUUAAUACCUUGCUGUUUUGACGUUACCGACAGAAUAAGCACCGGCUAACUUCGUGCCAGCAGCCGCGGUAAUACGAAGGGUGCAAGCGUUAAUCGGAAUUACUGGGCGUAAAGCGCGCGUAGGUGGUUCAGCAAGUUGAAGGUGAAAUCCCCGGGCUCAACCUGGGAACUGCCUCCAAAACUACUGAGCUAGAGUACGGUAGAGGGUAGUGGAAUUGCCUGUGUAGCGGUGAAAUGCGUAGAUAUAGGAAGGAACACCAGUGGCGAAGGCGACUACCUGGACUGAUACUGACACUGAGGUGCGAAAGCGUGGGGAGCAAACAGGAUUAGAAACCCCUGUAGUCC
rnacentral:rRNA from 1 species